rnacentral:miRNA from 1 species
ACAGAUUUCGAGUUUGUGCGUGAAUCUAACGAACUAAUACAACACCAAUUAAUUUCUAAAUCGGGAAUUUGUUGACUAAAUUUCGUGUCAAAAUCCCCCAAAUUAAGUCUGUACUCAUCGCGUUAAAUUCACGCACAAACUGGAAAUCCGCCU